CUUACGGCCAUAUCAUGUAGAAAACACCGGUUCCCUUACGACCACCGAAGUUAAGCAUUAUUAAGGAGCGAGAACAAUCGAAGAUAGAUAGGUCAAUACCUAGAUGGGUAACCGCUUGGGAAUACCAGGCGCUGUAA